rnacentral:rRNA from 1 species
CACCGCGGUUAUACGAGAGGCCUAAGUUGACAGACAACGGCGUAAAGAGUGGUUAAGGAAAAAUUUACACUAAAGCCGAACAUCCUCAAGACUGUCGUACGUUUCCGAGGAUAUGAAGUCCCCCUACGAAAGUGGCUUUAACUCUCCUGACCCCACGAAAGCUGUGGCAC